rnacentral:piRNA from 1 species
UACAUAGAUAACAAUAUUUCC